GGGGAAUAUUGCACAAUGGGGGAAACCCUGAUGCAGCGACGCCGCGUGAGUGAAGAAGUAUUUCGGUAUGUAAAGCUCUAUCAGCAGGGACGAAUAAAUGACGGUACCUGACUAAGAAGCCCCGGCUAACUACGUGCCAGCAGCCGCGGUAAUACGUAGGGGGCAAGCGUUAUCCGGAUUUACUGGGUGUAAAGGGAGCGUAGACGGUGACGUAAGUCAGAUGUGAAAGCCCAGGGCUCAACUCUAGGACUGCAUCUGAAACUAUGUUGCUAGAGUGCAGGAGAGGUAAGUGGAAUUCCUAGUGUAGCGGUGAAAUGCGUAGAUAUUAGGAGGAACACCAGUGGCGAAGGCGGCUUACUGGACUGUAACUGACGUUGAGGCUCGAAAGCGUGGGGAGCAAAC
rnacentral:rRNA from 1 species